AUCAACUUUCGAUGGUAGGAUAGAGGCCUACCAUGGUGGUAACGGGUAACGGGGUGUUAGGGCACGACACCGGAGAGGGAGCCUGAGAAACGGCUACCACAUCCAAGGAUGGCAGCAGGCGCGCAAAUUACCCAAUCCCGACACGGGGAGGUAGUGACAAUAAAUAACAAUACGGGGUCCUUUCGGGUUUCGUAAUUGGAAUGAGUACAAUUUAAAUCUCUUAACGAGGAACAAUUGGAGGGCAAGUCUGGUGCCAGCAGCCGCGGUAAUUCCAGCUCCAAUAGCGUAUAUUAAAGUUGUUGCAGUUAAAAAGCUCGUAGUUGAAUUUCGGGAUUAGUACGCUGGUCGUGCCUUCGGUAUGUACUGGUGUUACUGAUUCCUACCUUCUGACGAACCGUCAUGUCAUUAAUUUGGUGUGGCGGGGAAUCAGGACUGUUACUUUGAAAAAAUUAGAGUGUUUAAAGCAGGCUCGCGCUUGAAUACAUUAGCAUGGAAUAAUGAAAUAGGACGUUCGAUCCUAUUUUGUUGGUUUCUAGGAUUGACGUAAUGAUUAAUAGGGAUAGUUGGGGGCAUUAGUAUUCAAUUGUCAGAGGUGAAAUUCUUGGAUUUAUUGAAGACUAACUACUGCGAAAGCAUUUGCCAAGGAUGUUUUCAUUAAUCAAGAACGAAAGUUAGGGGAUCGAAGACGAUCAGAUACCGUCGUAGUCUUAACCAUAAACUAUGCCGACUAGGGAUCGGAUGAUGUUAUUUUUAAUGACUCAUUCGGCGCCUUACGGGAAACCAAAGUGUUUGGGUUC
rnacentral:rRNA from 1 species